rnacentral:misc_RNA from 1 species
GAAAUGCGAUAAGUAGUGUGAAUUGCAGAAUUUAGCGAAUCAUCGAAUCUUUGAACGCACAUUGCGCCCCUUGGUAUUCCAUGUGGCAUGCCUGUUCGAGCGUCAUUUCAACCCUCAAGCACUGCUUGGUGUUGGGCGUUUGUCCCGCCUACGCGCGUGGACUCGCCUCAAAGUCAUUGGCAGCUGUUCCCCUUCGGCUCGUAAGCGCAGCACAGUCGGCGCCCGGAGCUCUGGUGGGAUGGCGUCCAGCAAGCUAUAUUUUCAGGCUUGACCUCGGAUCAGGUAGGGAUACCCGCUGAACUUAAGC